GUGCAUUGUCCUGCUGGAAGGAGCCAUCAGAAGAUGGGUACACUUUGGACAUACAGAAAUGGACAUGGUCAGCGACAACAGUCAGGAUGUGACCAGCAGGUGAGUUUGCACAUAUGGAGCCGAUCAACACAAUCAGGAGAAGCUAAAGAGAAGGGGGUACCUCUGGGGGAAGAUGCAAGAUCGUUCCUUCUCACAGAGUGACAUCCUCGUCUGCAGACCCUGCCGUCAUCCAGGAUCUCAGUUCACUGCCUCCGUAUCCCCAAUGUCCUUGGAAGAACUCAUUCUGGAAAUCCCUUCGAUAAUCUCCCUUACGGCUUCCCUGGCUGCUCCCCUGGAUCCACUGUCGGAGUGCCUCCAUGCUCGACCAAUACCACUUACCUGCCUGCCCGCCCUCCAAUGCUCUGUUGCCAUCACCACCUCAAUCUAGACACAACGGAUGAUUACUAACCUACACCACUUGCCACAAUCUGCCAACCUCAGCUGUUUGUGGAUCUACACCAUUUCCACAAAAAGUAAGAAUCAGUUUUCACCUCUUCAUCCUGGUCCUCCUCCUCAUCAGUUACCAAACUCUUUAACUUGCUGUUGAUGCUUACCUUUCUUUCUCAAUCC